AAACAAUAUAGGAUUAGAAAAAUCAAAUAUUUUUAAACUUCAUUUAAGUGGUUUUUUCUUCCUUUAAUUGUUAGAACAAAUUUUAUUUUAUUUUGUGUACAGGUAUUGAAUAAAUACCAUGAUUAAUCAUGUAUUGCUCGACCGACUCAUUUAAUACACCAUAUACGAUGUUAAUUUGUAAUUUUUAAAACAUAUAAUACAGUUAGAAAUGUAGUAUCUAUAUAUACAUUAAGGUAGUAUCUAUAAUAAUAAUUAGCGGAGCCGAACUCUGUCUUAUGUUAAACUUAACUCCACACACCGUAAUAUAUUAUAAUAAUUAUCAAUUUGUCCUAUACUAACCGAUUAUAUUAUUUUAUUAUAUUUAUGACGACGGUUAAAUUACAAAGUAUAGGAACGACCACUUGUCGCGAUUAGUUUUUUUUUUUUUUUUUUUUUUAUUUUUUUUUUUGUAAAUAAUAACGUGUCUAACAUCAGAGUAAUAAUAAAUAAAACAAAAAUAAAAUUAUAACUAGUCAAUUUUAACAUUAUUCAGGAUAAUGAAAAUAUUUAACUGUCGUGAAUGUCUGUUUAUACCCA